AAACUAACAAGGAUUCCCCUAGUAACGGCGAGUGAAGCGGGAAGAGCUCAAAUUUGAAAUCUGGUGGCCUCAGGUCAUCCGAGUUGUAAUCUAUAGAAGUGUUUUCCGUGCUGGCUCAUGUACAAGUCCCUUGGAACAGGGCGUCAUAGAGGGUGAGAAUCCCGUCCUUGACAUGAACUACCAGUGCUCUGUGAUACAUUUUCAACGAGUCGAGUUGUUUGGGAAUGCAGCUCAAAAUGGGUGGUAAAUUCCAUCUAAAGCUAAAUAUUGGCGAGAGACCGAUAGCGAACAAGUACCGUGAGGGAAAGAUGAAAAGCACUUUGGAAAGAGAGUUAAACAGUAUGUGAAAUUGUUGAAAGGGAAACGAUUGAAGUCAGUCGUGCUCUUUGGAUUCAGCCGGUUCUGCCGGUGUACUUCCUUUGAGUGGGGUCAACAUCAGUUUUGAUCGCUGGAUAAAGGCUGGAGGAACGUAGUACCCUCGGGUAAACUUAUAGCCUCCUGUCACAUACAGUGGUUGGGACUGAGGAACGCAGCACGCCUUUAUGGCCGGGAUUCGUCCACGUAC
rnacentral:rRNA from 1 species